rnacentral:tRNA from 1 species
GCCGGGGUAGCUCAGCCAGGUGGAGCGCCCGGCUGUUAACCGGGCGGUCCCGGGUUCGAAUCCCGGCCCCGGCG